CGUUAGCGGCGGACGGGUGAGUAACACGUGGAUAACCUACCUAUAAGACUGGGAUAACUUCGGGAAACCGGAGCUAAUACCGGAUAAUAUAUUGAACCGCAUGGUUCAAUAGUGAAAGACGGUUUUGCUGUCACUUAUAGAUGGACCCGCGGCGUAUUAGCUAGUUGGUAAGGUAACGGCUUACCAAGGCAACGAUACGUAGCCGACCUGAGAGGGUGAUCGGCCACACUGGAACUGAGACACGGUCCAG
rnacentral:rRNA from 1 species